GUUCCUUGCUGGGGGUGCUGGCCUUGUGCCGGCUGAGAAAGUCCCUUCGAACCUGACUGAGGUAAUCCUCGCGCAGGGAAGCAUGGCGCGGAGCCC
rnacentral:ncRNA from 2 species